CUUUUUGUUUGCAUUGUCAAGUCCAUUCCCAUUAGUUUUUUCAUAUGAUGUGCUGUCAUUAAGUUCAUUCCGGAGUUUUUCUACAUAUUCAUUUGCGUCUGUUAUCACUAUUCCAGAACCUUUGUCUGCAGGCCUUAUUAUUAUACUGGAAUCAUUUAGUAACGUGUGCAAUGCUUGUUUUUCUUGUCUUGUGAUAUUUGACUGUCCAUUUUCUUUUAUGCCAUUUAGAAUAUCAUUUUUAACUGCUUCUAUAUAAGCAUCUAGCCACUUUUCUCUACCAGGUUCAGGAGUAAAACGGCUUUCUUUCUUUAUCUCAUAUUCCUCCUUUUCAUUUUUCCUUUCUUGAUUUUCAUCACUAUGGAAAUACUCUGCGAGUCGCAUCCGUCUCUCCCAUUCUGCUAGGUCACUGUGUAUCUUAGAUAAAUCUACGUGUUUUUUAGACGGUACAAAAGAUAUUCCUUUGGAUAAUAGACUUGUUUCUGCUUCUGUUAACUUUCUUGAAGACAGAUUUGUAACAGUGUCAAGACUAUUAUUAUUUGUUUCAAUUGUGUCUUUUUUUGCUGGUUUAUUUUCACCCUUGUUUUUAGUUCUUUUAUCGUUUGAUUUAAGUUUUUGUGUAUCACACUCUUGCGUUUUUCUAUUUUUCUUAUCUUGAUAGUUCAUUUUAUGCCCUCUUUCUUCAAAAUUGCAACAGGAC